rnacentral:misc_RNA from 1 species
AUAUAUAUAUCAACCCUCUCUUUGUUGAGUGGUUUGGAUGUGGGGGUUUGCUGGCCUCUUAAAUGGUUCAGCUCCUCUGAAAUGCAUUAGCAGAACAACCCUGUUCAUUGGUGUGAUAACUAUCUACGCUAUUGAAUGUGAAGGGAAGUUCAGCUUUCUAACCGUCUUUGGACAAUUCAUCAUUA